rnacentral:rRNA from 1 species
UACGUAGGGUGCAGGCGUUAAUCGGAAUUACUGGGCGUAAAGGGCGCGUAGGCGGCACGGCAAGUCGGGAGUGAAAGCCCGGGGCUCAACCCCGGAGGGUCUUCCGAAACUGCCGAGCUAGAGUGCGGAAGAGGCAACCGGAAUUCCCAGUGUAGCGGUGAAAUGCGUAGAUAUUGGGAAGAACACCAGAGGCGAAGGCGGGUUGCUGGGCCGACACUGACGCUGAGGCGCGAAAGCCAGGGGAGCAAACGGG